GAGAUGACUGACAGCAAGGACAGGGCAGAUACAGCGGGAGAUUGAGCUGGGCCACCAGUGUGGGUUGGCCUUGAGCUGGUAAGGGACAUUGAGACUUCUAGAGUGAAGGAAAAGAAAGUAAAAACCAAUGAAUAUAGAUAUGUUUACAGAGAAAUUGAGCGAGACCUCCCUGAUGACCUCAAUUUUUCCACUGAUGUAAAGGCAAGGUCAUCUGCUGAGAAUGAAAUCAGCAGUUGUUUGGAGAAAGGACUUGGGACCGAAGGUCUUUGGAGUCCCUGACCACCUAGGAAAUAUAACUCCUUGGUCUUGGAUUUCUCGGCCUGGUCCUCAGAAAUGGUGCUGGACAAAGCUGUGAAUCCCCCGGUGCAUAGUUGUAUAUUCUUCAUUGUGGGUCCUUCUAGUUGUGGCAUGUGGGACGCUGCCUCAGCGUGGUUUGAUGAGCAGUGCCAUGUCCGCGCCCAGGAUUCCAACCAACGAUACACUGGGCCGCCUGCAGCGGAGCGCGUGAACUUAACCACUCGGCCACGGGACCAGCCCCAUCCUAAGCUACCAUUUCAUGUGUUUUACAAACAGGUGUAUAAGAAGUAAUACAUUUUAAUGCCUUAUAGUUCCCUUGAUUGUGACUCUGGCCAACUUUACAAUGAAGUAGCAGGCUUCUCUGGAAAUUGAAUCCCAAAGAUUAAUUUUAACUAGGUAUAACUUGUCUUUUGGAUGCUUCCAAUUUAUUGCAAGUAGUUUUUAUAUUAAUAUUUUGUUCUGACUAAAUCAGUGGAGUUUAUUUAUUUGGCAACUUAUAUUUUUCUUAUUUUACUAUUUUGUUGUCGUUAAGCAAUAUGGAACAAUUGAAUGCUGUAGGUGCGUCUAUUUAGGUCCAUUUCAUGGAACAAUUAUUUAUUGAGCAUACACUUGGUGCUUGGAGAGCAAUAAAGCAGUGGCAUAGCAAGGGCAGAGUGGUGGGAGCAGUUCACCUGGAAUGCAGGCAAAAGGGAGUGCUUGUCUGGAGAGAAUCAAAAACAAUGACAAAACCGACGAAAAUCACUCUGCUUUUUGUUAUCACCGUGCACCAGAAAGUCUAAACAAUGGCAAAGCUUUUUGUUGUCCUAAGUUCUAAGCAAUUGCUGUGGAUACUGCUAAGUUUUAAUAAUAUAUAUGUUAGCUUCAAUUUAGCACAUUUUUAUUAUUUAUCCUUUAGUAAGCAUUUUAUUCCACAUGGAAGUUAAUAAGGAGAACUCCCAGAUAUAUUGUCAUUCCUGACAU
rnacentral:lncRNA from 1 species